GAUGAACGCUAGCGGAAGGCAUAAUACAUGCAAGUCGAACGGAUGUAGCAAUACAUUAGUGGCGCACGGGUGCGUAACGCGUCCGCAACCUACCUUCAUCAGGGGGAUAACUACUUGAAAGGGUGGCUAAUACAGCAUAAUACUACUGAAUGGCAUCAUUUGGUAUUUAAAUAGCAGGAGGAUGAAGAUGGGCAUGCGUCUGAUUAGCUAGUUGGUGGGGUAACGGCGCACCAAGGCGACGAUCAGUAUGGGAACUGAGAGGUUGGUCCCCCACACUGGCACUGAGAUACGGGCCAGACUCCUACGGGAGGCAGCAGUAGGGAAUAUUGGUCAAUGGUGGGAACACUGAACCAGCCAUUCCGCGUGCAGGAAGAAGGGUCUCUGACUUGUAAACUGCUUUAGCAAGGGAAGAAAAAGCUCAUGCGUGAGAAAUUGACGGUACCUUGAGAAUAAGCACCGGCUAACUACGUGCCAGCCGCCGCCGUAAAAC
rnacentral:rRNA from 1 species